CUGCAGGUGCUGACUCGCAACCCUACUCAGAGGGGAGUCGAUCAUCUUCCUUUGUGGACGCAGAAGAGCGGCGAGUCCUCAGGAUGGCAGAUGGGUCGCAUCGCCGUGCCCCACAAGAAUAGGGUGAUCUUCCGGGCAACCGUCGGUCCUCCCUCAAGGCCAGCGUUCGUCGCACUGGAUGAUAUCGCAAUCGUGCACCAAGAUCGGUGCGAGACCUUCCCGAAAGGCAGCGAGGCCCUUUCCCCAACGGAGCUGCUGACUUGCGAUUUCCAAGACUGGAACUUGUGCAAAUGGUCGUCGCUUGGCUCUUCGAUACCAAAGUGGAGGUUUCGUUUCGACCGAUCCUUAAACCUCGGUCCUGUUUCAUAUCCCAUUAAAAAAGG